GUGCCAGCCGCCGCGGUAAGACGUAGGGUGCAAGCGUUGUCCGGAUUUAUUGGGCGUAAAGAGCUCGUAGGCGGCUUGUUGCGUCGACCGUGAAAACCUACCGCUUAACGGUGGGCUUGCGGUCGAUACGGGCAGGCUAGAGUUCGGUAGGGGAGACUGGAAUUCCUGGUGUAGCGGUGAAAUGCGCAGAUAUCAGGAGGAACACCGGUGGCGAAGGCGGGUCUCUGGGCCGAUACUGACGCUGAGGAGCGAAAGCGUGGGGAGCGAACAGGAUUAGAAACCCCAGUAGUCC
rnacentral:rRNA from 1 species